CUGCUGUGCUGUUCCCCUCAAGGUACACUGUGCGGAUUAACUUUAUUCUCUCCCAAAUCGUGUACAACUGUCCACAACAAAACCUCAAGAGGCAGAGAUACGACCAGAUCAUCUCGUGUAAUAUUUCAAAGUGUCAUUUCCAGGAUGUGGCCAUCAUUGGCUCUGCUCAAAAUUGCCUAUUUAGAGGUUCACUAUGCAUUUUCUACACAGCACACUGGAUGGAAAUCUAAACAACGAGGAAAAAACAUGUGCUCUUCUGCAGUAAUGAGUUUAAAAUUUUAAAAAUCACUCACGAACGAUCUCUUGCUGGUAUUUGUUAGCAAGUCAAUCUUUCUUCCAGACAUCAAGAGGUGACCUUUCUGACCCAAAGAUUUAUCAAGUCAGCAAUCUAUUCCCUGGGGCCAGCAUCUUCAGCCUCUUCCUCUGCCAGUCACGUCUGUGGAGGACUUUGCCAAACCCCAUGAGAAAAUGGACUAAUCUACUUGUUUCAAAGAACAAGAAUGACAUCUUUACCGGCUGUACUUUGUCUAUAGAGGGAAGAAGCUAAUAAAGGAUGAAAUACUUUAUCCA
rnacentral:lncRNA from 1 species